rnacentral:rRNA from 1 species
ACUCCUACGGGAGGCAGCAGUGGGGAAUUUUGGACAAUGGGCGCAAGCCUGAUCCAGCCAUGCCGCGUGCGGGAAGAAGGCCUUCGGGUUGUAAACCGCUUUUGUCAGGGAAGAAAAGGUUCUGGCUAAUACCUGGGACUCAUGACGGUACCUGAAGAAUAAGCACCGGCUAACUACGUGCCAGCAGCCGCGGUCAUACGUAGGGUGCAAGCGUUAAUCGGAAUUACUGGGCGUAAAGCGUGCGCAGGCGGUUAUGCAAGACAGAGGUGAAAUCCCCGGGCUCAACCUGGGAACUGCCUUUGUGACUGCAUGGCUAGAGUACGGUAGAGGGGGAUGGAAUUCCGCGUGUAGCAGUGAAAUGCGUAGAUAUGCGGAGGAACACCGAUGGCGAAGGCAAUCCCCUGGACCUGUACUGACGCUCAUGCACGAAAGCGUGGGGAGCAAACAGGAUUAGAUACCCGGGUAGUCCCAUGA